rnacentral:rRNA from 1 species
UGCAAGUCGAACGGUAACAGGAAGAAGCUUGCUUCUUUGCUGACGAGUGGCGGACGGGUGAGUAAUGUCUGGGAAACUGCCUGAUGGAGGGGGAUAACUACUGGAAACGGUAGCUAAUACCGCAUAACGUCGCAAGACCAAAGAGGGGGACCUUCGGGCCUCUUGCCAUCGGAUGUGCCCAGAUGGGAUUAGCUAGUAGGUGGGGUAACGGCUCACCUAGGCGACGAUCCCUAGCUGGUCUGAGAGGAUGACCAGCCACACUGGAACUGAGACACGGUCCAGACUCCUACGGGAGGCAGCAGUGGGGAAUAUUGCACAAUGGGCGCAAGCCUGAUGCAGCCAUGCCGCGUGUAUGAAGAAGGCCUUCGGGUUGUAAAGUACUUUCAGCGGGGAGGAAGGGAGUAAAGUUAAUACCUUUGCUCAUUGACGUUACCCGCAGAAGAAGCACCGGCUAACUCCGUGCCAGCAGCCGCGGUAAUACGGAGGGUGCAAGCGUUAAUCGGAAUUACUGGGCGUAAAGCGCACGCAGGCGGUUUGUUAAGUCAGAUGUGAAAUCCCCGGGCUCAACCUGGGAACUGCAUCUGAUACUGGCAAGCUUGAGUCUCGUAGAGGGGGGUAGAAUUCCAGGUGUAGCGGUGAAAUGCGUAGAGAUCUGGAGGAAUACCGGUGGCGAAGGCGGCCCCCUGGACGAAGACUGACGCUCAGGUGCGAAAGCGUGGGGAGCAAACAGGAUUAGAUACCCUGGUAGUCCACGCCGUAAACGAUGUCGACUUGGAGGUUGUGCCCUUGAGGCGUGGCUUCCGGAGCUAACGCGUUAAGUCGACCGCCUGGGGAGUACGGCCGCAAGGUUAAAACUCAAAUGAAUUGACGGGGGCCCGCACAAGCGGUGGAGCAUGUGGUUUAAUUCGAUGCAACGCGAAGAACCUUACCUGGUCUUGACAUCCACGGAAGUUUUCAGAGAUGAGAAUGUGCCUUCGGGAACCGUGAGACAGGUGCUGCAUGGCUGUCGUCAGCUCGUGUUGUGAAAUGUUGGGUUAAGUCCCGCAACGAGCGCAACCCUUAUCCUUUGUUGCCAGCGGUCCGGCCGGGAACUCAAAGGAGACUGCCA